UACAGAGGUCCCAAGCGUUGUUCGGAUUUACUGGGCGUAAAGGGUGCGUAGGAGGUUGGCCAAGUCGGGUGUGAAAUCUCACCGCUUAACGGUGAAAUUGCGCUCGAUACUGGUUGACUAGAGUAUCGGAGGGGAAAGCGGAAUUCCUGGUGUAGCGGUGAAAUGCGUAGAUAUCAGGAGGAACACCAACGGCGAAGGCAGCUUUCUGGACGAUAACUGACUCUGAGGCACGAAGGCCAGGGGAGCGAACGGG
rnacentral:rRNA from 1 species